rnacentral:piRNA from 1 species
CACUGACUGUUCUUCUAGAGGUC